rnacentral:rRNA from 1 species
GCCCCACCAGCUAGCCCCAUUAGAAAAGCAACAACCACCAUUAAUAACCCCAAAAGUAUUUACAGUAAUUCAGCAAAGCAUUUUACCCCCUUAGUAUGGGAGACAGAAAAGGGACACAGGAGCUAUAGAGACAGUACCGCAAGGGAAAGCUGAAAGAGAGCUGAAAAAGCCCAGUAAAGGCAAGAGAAGCAAAGAUUAAUUCUUGUACCUUUUGCAUCAUGACUUAGCUAGUUUUUCCGAGCAAAGAGCCCUUGACGUUCGGACCCCCGAAACUGAGCGAGCUACUCCAAGGAAGCCUAUUAUAGGGCACACCCGUCUCUGUGGCAAAAGAGUGGGAUUACCUUUGAGUAGAGGUGACAGACCUACCGAGCUUAGUAAUAGCUGGUUGCCCGAGAACUGAAUAGGAGUUCACCCUUUUGGCUUCUUUCAACCAAGAAAGGCCUAGCCGCCCAACGGACCUAAGAAUACCAAAAGAGCUAUUCAAGAGGGGGACAGCUCUCUUGAAGGAAGACACAACUUUGACAGAAGGCUAAAGAUCAAGGAAUAUAAGGAAUCGUACCCAGGUUGGCCUGAAAGCAGCCACCCUUGAAGGAAGCGUUAAAGCUUAAGUACUAGACACCCCCAAUCCCGACCAUCGCGUCUAAAGCCUCUUUAUUUAUCGGACCCUUCCAUGCCACCCUGGAAGAGACACUGCUAACAUGAGUAAUAGGAGAGCCUCGGCUCUCUCCCCGCAGGAGUGUAAAUCAGAACGGACCGCCCACUGAGAAUUAACGCCCCCAACCAAUAGAGGGUAUUGGGAUCCGGUGUAUUCGCGCCAAGAAAUCCCCCCAUAAAUCGGCGUUACCCCCACACAGGACUGCUUUAGGGAAAGACGGAAGGAUAAGGAAGGAACUCGGCAAACACUUGGCCUCGCCUGUUUACCAAAAACAUCGCCUCUUGCUCUUAACAGUAUAGGAGGUCCCGCCUGCCCUGGUGACGAAAGUUUAACGGCCGCGGUAUUUUGACCGUGCGAAGGUAGCGUAAUCACUUGUCUUUUAAAUGGAGACCUGUAUGAAUGGCAUAACGAGGGCUAAGCUGUCUCCCUUAUCUGGUCAAUGAAAUUGAUCUGCCCGUGCAGAAGCGGGCAUACCACCGUAAGACGAGAAGACCCUAUGGAGCUUUAGACACUAGGACAGCCCGCGUAACAGCCCUCUGCACCCCCAGAAUGAACCCACACGGCCCCCUGUCCCCAUGUCUUCGGUUGGGGCGACCGCGGAGGAGAACAGACCCCCCGCAUGGAACGGAGAAAUUUUGAACCCGAGAUGAGGCCUACAGGCCCAAUCGACAGAACUUCUGGCCACCAAGACCCGGCUAUUUAGCGCCGAUCAAUGGACCCAGUUACCCUAGGGAUAACAGCGCAAUCUCCUUUUAGAGCCCAAAUCGACGAGGGGGUUUACGACCUCGAUGUUGGAUCAGGACUUCCUAAUGGUGCAGCCGCUAUUAAGGGUUCGUUUGUUCAACGAUUAAAGUCCU